AUUGAACGCUGGCGGCAGGCCUAAUACAUGCAAGUCGGGCGAGAGGCGGACGGGUGAGUAAUGUAUGGGGACCUGCGUGAUGGAGGGGGAUAACGACGGGAAACGGUAGCUAAGACCGCAUACUAUCGGAUGAACCCAUAUGGGAUUAGCUAGUAGGUGGGGUAAAGGCUCACCUAGGCGACGAUCUCUAGCUGGUCUGAGAGGAUGAUCGGCCACACUGGGACUGAGACACGGCCCAGACUCCUACGGGAGGCAGCAGUUGGGAAUAUUGCGCAAUGGGCGCAACCCUGACGCAGCCAUGCCGCGUGAGUGAAGAAGGCCUUCGGGUUGUAAAGUUCUUUCGGUAGCGAGGCGUUAUCUACAGAAGAAGCACCGGCUAACUCCGUGCCAGCCGCCGCGGUAAUAC
rnacentral:rRNA from 1 species